GAUGAACGCUGGCGGCGUGCCUAAUACAUGCAAGUCGAGCGAACGGACGAGAAGCUUGCUUUUCUGAUGUUAGCGGCGGACGGGUGAGUAACACGUGGAUAACCUACCUAUAAGACUGGGAUAACUUCGGGAAACCGGAGCUAAUACCGGAUAAUAUUUUGAACCGCAUGGUUCAAAAGUGAAAGACGGCCUUGCUGUCACUUAUAGAUGGAUCCGCGCUGCAUUAGCUAGUUGGUAAGGUAACGGCUUACCAAGGCAACGAUGCAUAGCCGACCUGAGAGGGUGAUCGGCCACACUGGAACUGAGGCACGGUCCAGACUCCUACGGGAGGCAGCAGUAGGGAAUCUUCCGCAAUGGGCGAAAGCCUGACGGAGCAACGCCGCGUGAGUGAUGAAGGUCUUCGGAUCGUAAAACUCUGUUAUUAGGGAAGAACAUAUGUGUAAGUAACUGUGCACAUCUUGACGGUACCUAAUCAGAAAGCCACGGCUAACUACGUG
rnacentral:rRNA from 1 species